GUGAAUUCAUAUGUGUGAGCUCAUCCACCGCUGCGAUAACAAUAAUGCGGUCUCUCUGAAUGAUUUCUCAGCUUCAUCACAAGAUGGAUUUAUUCAGGAAAGCAAUUCUGAAUCCAGGGCCGCCUGAAGAUUUCGCGCUCCAGACUGUGCAGCAAGUUAUAAAACCCCAGAAGCAGGUGAAACUCGUUCAAGAUGAAAAUAUGUUGUUGGAAAAUAUUCUGCGGACUUUGCUUCAAGAAUUGGUGUCAGCUGCAGUUCAGUCAGGUGAGGCAACUAUGCAU